rnacentral:rRNA from 1 species
UUCCGUAGGUGAACCUGCGGAAGGAUCAUUACCGAGUGAGGGCCCUUUGGGUCCAACCUCCCACCCGUGUUUAUUUUACCUUGUUGCUUCGGCGGGCCCGCCUUUACUGGCCGCCGGGGGGCUCACGCCCCCGGGCCCGCGCCCGCCGAAGACACCCCCGAACUCUGUCUGAAGAUUGAAGUCUGAGUGAAAAUAUAAAUUAUUUAAAACUUUCAACAACGGAUCUCUUGGUUCCGGCAUCGAUGAAGAACGCAGCGAAAUGCGAUACGUAAUGUGAAUUGCAAAUUCAGUGAAUCAUCGAGUCUUUGAACGCACAUUGCGCCCCCUGGUAUUCCGGGGGGCAUGCCUGUCCGAGCGUCAUUGCUGCCCUCAAGCCCGGCUUGUGUGUUGGGCCCCGUCCUCCGAUUCCGGGGGACGGGCCCGAAAGGCAGCGGCGGCACCGCGUCCGGUCCUCGAGCGUAUGGGGCUUUGUCACCCGCUCUGUAGGCCCGGCCGGCGCUUGCCGAUCAACCGCAAAUUUUUAUCCAGGUUGACCUCGGAUCAGGUAGGGUUACCCGCUGAACUUAAGCAUAUCAAUAAGCGGAGGA